GAAUUCUUGCCCCUAGUAUGUUGAAAUAAUUCUUUGCCUUGUCAGUUGCUGGCUAUCGAUUCUCGCUAUCUUCUCUCUCUUUCUCAUUUCUUUCGCAUUUAUUUAUUUUCUUCCCAGGUUUCAAUCGCUAUCAUAGGCUGCGGUCGGGAAGACGCUCUGGAUGCUUUGAAACAUCAUUCUAUCUUUGUUCUACAUUCCAUGAGAAUAAAGAUAGAAUGAUGUUUCAAAGCAUCCAGAGCGUCUUUCCGAUCAGCCAUAAUCACUCGUCGAUUGCAAUCAAGUUUCGUAAAGUCACGCUGAUAAUUUUUUGCUUGCGUCCAAUAUUGUGCGUGGUUAUUUAUGUUCAAAAAAUUUCUUUCAUAAUCGGAAAAAAUGUCGCAAAUAUUCGUCAAACGCUUCACCGGUUUCCUGGAGGAUCAUAAACCCGAGGAAGCUCUGAGACUUUUCACGACAGAGAGCAAUAAAGUGAUCGAGGAUUCUGUAAGUGAGAUUGUGUCGAUUACCGCUACUUAUCUCACGGAAUCUAAUUUGCAAUCUGAGCAAGAAUUAUUUGAAUGCUGCAAGAAUGUGUUAAAUGUCAUAGCCAAGAAGUGUAAUCCCAUGGAAACUGUAUUGGAGUUCCUAGAACAGAUAGAAUGUUUGAAUAACGAUAUCAAAUUUUGUGCCAUUUUGGAACCAUUAGGUAUAUGUAUGAUGAAAAUGCAGGAUAAGAGUAAGGCUAUCGAAUGGUGCAUCAAUACCAUCAAAUCAUACAUCGAGGAUUUAACAUCGUUACAUGAUGCUGAUAGUGAUAGAAUUGUGAAUGUAUAUAGAAGAAUUAUAUUAUUCUUGGAACCAUUAGUGCAAGAAGUGGUAAAGAUCAAUUCUAAAUUCGAGGAGGGAUCACUGCUUGGAGAUUAUCUUUUGAGCUUUCUUAUUUCUCUGUGCGAGAAGCCUUUCUACUACUGGAACGAAAACAUUAUUGAAGAAGCGAUAUAUAAAGAACUCUCAGAGAAAAUAAUAACAUUAUCAUUUUUCCUGACUGGAGAUAUAUUAUACUUUUUGAAUAUUGUUAGCAAACGUCGUAGAAAUAUCAUUCGCAACAGAGUGCAAGAAGGAUAUUUAUAUACUGAAAAUUAUAAGCGUAGUAUGCUUUUUGAAUCAAGUGUUAAUAUAUCGGAUUUGGCCUAUGCUAAUUUUUAUUGUUACAUAAUUACCAAAAAUGAUUAUUGGAAAAAAGCACCACAAAUUUAUAGUGCUUAUUACAUUUUUGAAACAUGCGCAUAUUUUUUUGAAAUUUUGCUUUGCAAAGAGGAAGAUAUUGUAAUUUCAAAUGGAUUAAUUUUUAUGGAAACUGUUAUAAACCGCAUUUCAUCUCGAUCUGUAGAUCCUGAAGUGUUGGGACUAAAAAUAUAUUCAGAUUUAUUUAAACCAAUUAUUAAAAUAAUGAUUUACUGUAAUAGUGAUACAAAUCGAAAGAAGGCAUUAUGUGUUUUUCAAAAAUAUAUCGAAAUAUUCAAUAUGGAAGCUAGAUAUUCUGUUAUCUUAUAUUUGUACAAAAUUAGCGAUCAUUCUGGUUUAUUAAGUUUGAUCAUUAAUAUACUUAAGUCUUCUAUUAUCGAUUGUCUUAACUCAACUCCACAAAAUCCCCAGUUUCUUGGAAAGAAUUUGGAACUGAUGCUGAAAAAGAUUUGUAAUUUGCCAUAUGGAAGUUCGUCAGAUUUAGUGGAGAUAUCAGAUGAAGUUAUUACUGUACUGAAUCUAUUGAGAUUCUUGUUCAUCAGAGAUAAGCAUAAUGAAACGGGUAUUUGGAAUAUUACAGAUAUGCUAGAAAAUGAUUAUUUGAAUCCGUUGAGAGAAGGAAUAGAUUUGUGUAGAGCGCAUUGGAAAGUGAAGAUAAAAGACUUAGAACAACAAAAGAAGAAUUAUAAUAAAAUACACGAUUAUAGUGAGAUGAAAAAGGUUGAAGCGGAAGUCAUAUUAACCAUCGGCGGUGAACAAUUACCGAUGAUGCCACUUCCAAAAAAAAUUUCUUUUUGUUAUCAAGCGAUAAAUGGUCUGGAUGUAAUGGAAAGUGUUCUUAUCCGAGUUAAUGAAUGCAUGGAUAUGGCUCAUAAAGAAUUCUCAUUGAAUGUGCUAAACUAAAAGUAUGAAAUUCAACAAAAUAUUGAUCAUACUUAAUAAUUGUAUACUAUUAAUUUUAUGGGCUUUGCUGAGCGAUCAAUCUGAAAAUGAUAAUAA